UCUAGUUGAGGCAAAAAGUUUAGGCGCAAAUUCGUUUUGAACGUAAACAAAACCUUGAUAUAGCCUAGCAAUCUAGACUAUAGAUCUACAUUUUAGUGUAGCCUGUCCUAGACUAAUCUACACUUACAGUUAUGUUAUUUUCGACAAAAAUCUUUCCUGGAUACAUCAAGUUCAUCAAGGUGAAGACACCGAUCACCUUGAAACAAGUAUCAUUCGAAACAAAUGAAGAGUGUGAAGGGCAAAUGGAUGUUUACAUUGAAACCAAAAGCACUACAUGUUGUAGCUUAUUGUGUAAAUUAUCCAAAAAAAAACAAAUUUUUUCAUUUGAGCUGAGCCUAGGUGAAAAUGAUGAAGUCAAAGUACAAGGAAAUGGA